GAGGCUCUAAUCAAAUCUUCCUUCGUAAGAGUGCUAGCUCAUGUCGAAGGCUUUGGAUGGCUGAUCCAAACUCCUUUCUUUAGAUCUCUCGAACUUUUUCAGAUCCAAAAAUAAAGCUUUAUGAGAAGGUGGUGGUGUGGAAGAUUAGACAAGACUCACUCUUAUAUUUUUCUUCUCACAAAAUCUAGAGAUGAAACCCUGGAACCC
rnacentral:lncRNA from 1 species